GACGAACGCUGGCGGCGUGCCUAACACAUGCAAGUCGAACGGGGGUAGCAAUACCUCAGUGGCGAACGGGUGCGUAACACGUGAAGAAUUUGUCCAACGGCGGGGGAGUAGCCGGCCCAACGGCCGGGUAAUACCGCGUACGCCCUUCGGGAGGCAUCUCCUGAUUGGGAAAGCCGCAAGGCGCCGAUGGAGAACUUCGCGGCCUAUCAGCUAGUUGGUGAGGUCAUGGCUCACCAAGGCGACGACGGGUAGCUGGUCCGAGAGGAUGACCAGCCACAUUGGGACGUGAGACACGGCCC
rnacentral:rRNA from 1 species